rnacentral:rRNA from 1 species
AGUGAACGCUGGCGGUAGGCCUAACACAUGCAAGUCGAACGGCAGCACAGUAAGAGCUUGCUCUUACGGGUGGCGAGUGGCGGACGGGUGAGGAAUACAUCGGAAUCUACUUUUUCUUGGGGGAUAACGUAGGGAAACUUACGCUAAUACCGCAUACGACCUACGGGUGAAAGCAGGGGAUCUUCGGACCUUGCGCGAUUGAAUGAGCCGAUGUCGGAUUAGCUAGUUGGCGGGGUAAAGGCCCACCAAGGCCACGAUCCGUAGCUGGUCUGAGAGGAUGAUCAGCCACACUGGAACUGAGACACGGUCCAGACUCCUACGGGAGGCAGCAGUGGGGAAUAUUGGACAAUGGGCGCAAGCCUGAUCCAGCCAUACCGCGUGGGUGAAGAAGGCCUUCGGGUUGUAAAGCCCUUUUGUUGGGAAAGAAAAGCAGCAGGUUAAUACCCCGCUGUUCUGACGGUACCCAAAGAAUAAGCACCGGCUAACUUCGUG